GAUGAACGCUGGCGGCGUGCCUAAUACAUGCAAGUCGAGCGAACAGAUAAGGAGCUUGCUCCUUUGACGUUAGCGGCGGACGGGUGAGUAACACGUGGAUAACCUACCUAUAAGACUGGGAUAACUUCGGGAAACCGGAGCUAAUACCGGAUAACAUAUUGAACCGCAUGGUUCAAUAGUGAAAGGCGGCUUUGCUGUCACUUAUAGAUGGAUCCGCGCCGUAUUAGCUAGUUGGUAAGGUAACGGCUUACCAAGGCAACGAUACGUAGCCGACCUGAGAGGGUGAUCGGCCACACUGGAACUGAGACACGGUCCAGACUCCUACGGGAGGCAGCAGUAGGGAAUCUUCCGCAAUGGGCGAAAGCCUGACGGAGCAACGCCGCGUGAGUGAUGAAGGUCUUCGGAUCGUAAAACUCUGUUAUCAGGGAAGAACAAAUGUGUAAGUAACUGUGCACAUCUUGACGGUACCUGAUCAGAA
rnacentral:rRNA from 1 species